rnacentral:rRNA from 1 species
AUGCCACACUAUACUGUUUGGACCAGGCAUGGAGAAAUAGGGGUUAUGAUGGAAGACAGUGAAGAAGAAGAGGACGAUGACAACUAUGUGCCCCCGGAAUACGGUGAUGCUGCAACGAGGGAAGCUGCUGAAGAUCAAGAGGAACCAGACGAUAUUGUGCCUGAUGAUGAUCUCCGCCGGGUCAUUGUUGAUGCAAGGAGACAAUGCGAAAGUCAAAAGGAGAAGCUGAAGUUCGAUCGCAUGUUAGAGGAUCACAAAAAAGGGUUGUACCCCAAUUGCGAAGAUGGCAACACGAAGCUCGGUACCGUACUCGAAUCGCUGCAGUGGAAGGCAGUGAAUGUUGUGCCUGACCAAGGAUUUGAUAAGCUACUGAAAAUAUUGAAGAAGAAGCUUCCAAAGGAUAAUGAAUUGCCCGACAGUACGUAUGCAACAAAGAAGGUCGUAUGCUCUCUAGGAUUGGAGGUGCAGAAGAUACAUGCAUGCCCUAAUGAUUGCAUCCUCUACCACGGUGCGUACGAGGAUUUGAACGCAUACCCGGUACACGAUGCAUUGCGGUAUAAGAUCAGACGAGAUGACCCUGGUGAUGUUGACGGCGAGCCCCCCAGGAAGAGGGUUCCUGCGAAGGUGAUGUGGUAUGCUCCUAUAAUACCACGGUUGAAACGUCUGUUCAGAAACGAAGAGCAUGCCAAGUUGAUGCGAUGGCACAGAGAGGACUGUAAGAAAGACGGCAAGUUGAGAGCACCCGCUGGCGGGUCGCAGUGGAGAAAAAUCGAGAGAAAGUUCCGGGCUGAGCUUGCAGGUGACCCAAGGAACGUAUGGUUUGGUUUAAGCGCGGAUGUCAUUAAUCCUUUCGGGGAGCAGAGCAGCAAUCACAACACCUGGCCCGUGACUCUAUGUAUGUAUAACCUUCCUCCUUGGAUGUGCAUGAAGCGGAAGUUCAUUAUGAUGCCAGUUCUCAUCCAAGGCCCUAAGCAACCCGGGAACGACAUUGAUGUGUACCUAAGGCCAUUUUUUACAGCUGUGGAAUGA